GGGGUAGUAAAGGUUUCGACAGGGGUCUUGCAGCUGGAGAAGCUAUCCGCACGCAAUGCGUUAAAUGGCAAACCUAAACUAAACGCUGAUGACAAUCAGUAUGCACUUGCUGCUUAAUCCUUAGGGGUUAGGUUGUAAGCGACGCCGUCUUUACGGCUCGUCCGUCCUCUGCACCCAUACGGAGGGUUGCGGGCGUCAUGAUAUGGGAAACGACUCUCACAAAGCUUUGCGUGAGAUGGGCGUAAUAUGAAGCUACCAAAGCGGUGUGUUCGUCAUCUGACAGCCGCGAUGGGAACAGGGGUGAAGAACUCGAAAACAGCUGACUAUGAUAGUAGAAGGACAGGGAAUGGGCUUUUGGACACGGGUUCGACUCCCGUCUACUCCACU
rnacentral:tmRNA from 1 species